GAUGAACGCUGGCGGCGUGCCUAAUACAUGCAAGUCGAGCGAACGGACGAGAAGCUUGCUUCUCUGAUGUUAGCGGCGGACGGGUGAGUAACACGUGGAUAACCUACCUAUAAGACUGGGAUAACUUCGGGAAACCGGAGCUAAUACCGGAUAAUAUUUUGAACCGCAUGGUUCAAAAGUGAAAGACGGUCUUGCUGUCACUUAUAGAUGGAUCCGCGCUGCAUUAGCUAGUUGGUAAGGUAACGGCUUACCAAGGCAACGAUGCAUAGCCGACCUGAGAGGGUGAUCGGCCACACUGGAACUGAGACACGGUCCAGACUCCUACGGGAGGCAGCAGUAGGGAAUCUUCCGCAGUGGGCGAAAGCCUGACGGAGCAACGCCGCGUGAGUGAUGAAGGUCUGCGGAUCGUAAAACUCUGUUAUUAGGGAAGAACAUAUGUGUAAGUAACUGUGCACAUCUUGACGGUACCUAAUCAGAAAGCCACGGCUAACUACGU
rnacentral:rRNA from 1 species